GAAAUGCGAUAAGUAGUGUGAAUUGCAGAAUUCAGUGAAUCAUCGAAUCUUUGAACGCACAUUGCGCCCUUUGGUAUUCCAAAGGGCAUGCCUGUUCGAGCGUCAUUUGUACCCUCAAGCUUUGCUUGGUGUUGGGCGUCUUGUCUCUAGCUUUGCUGGAGACUCGCCUUAAAGUAAUUGGCAGCCGGCCUACUGGUUUCGGAGCGCAGCACAAGUCGCACUCUCUAUCAGCAAAGGUCUAGCAUCCAUUAAGCCUCUUUUCAACUUUUGACCUCGGAUCAGGUAGGGAUACCCGCUGAACUUAAGC
rnacentral:misc_RNA from 1 species